AACGUAGGAGACGAACGUUAUCCGGAGUUACUGGGCGUAAAGGGCGUGCAGGCGGUUGGAUAAGUUCGGCGUGAAAUUUUCCGGCUUAACCGGGGGAUGUCGUCGGAGACUGUCUGACUAGAGGGUGAUAGAGGCGUGUGGAAUUCCGGGUGUAGUGGUGAAAUGCGUAGAGAUCCGGAGGAACACCAGUGGCGAAGGCGACACGCUGGGUCACACCUGACGCUAAGACGCGACAGCAUGGGGAGCAAAC
rnacentral:rRNA from 1 species